AUGACUCUCGGCAAUGGAUAUCUCGGCUCUUGCAUCGAUGAAGAACGUAGCGAAAUGCGAUACGUGGUGUGAAUUGCAGAAUCCCGCGAACCAUCGAAACUUUGAACGCAAGUUGCGCCUCAAGCCAUUCGGUUGAGGGCACGUAUGCUUGGGUGUCACG
rnacentral:rRNA from 1 species